AGAAGUUGACAUGCUUACACAUGCAGUCGAUUCAAGUUACCUUCGGGUAAUGAGGAUGGCGGACGGGUGAGUAACGCGUAAGGAACUUGCCUCUUGGACUGGGACAACUGUUGGAAACGACAGCUAAUACCGGAUAUUAUGAGAUUCUCGCAUGAGAAACUUAUGAAAGCUAUAUGCGCCAAGAGAGAGCCUUGCGUUCCAUUAGCUAGUUGGUGGGGUAACGGCCCACCAAGGCGACGAUGGAUAGCCGGCCUGAGAGGGUGAACGGCCACAAGGGGACUGAGACACGGCCCUUACUCCUACGGGAGGCAGCAGUGGGGAAUAUUGGACAAUGGGCCACAAGCCUGAUCCAGCAAUUCUGUGUGCACGAUGAAGGUCUUCGGAUUGUAAAGUGCUUUCAGUUGGGAAGAAGAAAGUGACAGUACCAACAGAAGAAGCGACGGCUAAAUACGUGCCAGCAGCCGCGGUAAUACGUAUGUCGCAAGCGUUAUCCGGAUUUAUUGGGCGUAAAGCGCGUCUAGGCGGAAAAAUAAGUCUGAUGUUAAAAUGCGGGGCUCAACUCCGUAUUGCGUUGGAAACUGUUUUUCUAGAGUACUGGAGAGGUGGGCGGAACUACAAGUGUAGAGGUGAAAUUCGUAGAUAUUUGUAGGAAUGCCGAUGGAGAAGUCAGCUCACUGGACAGAUACUGACGCUGAAGCGCGAAAGCGUGGGGAGCAAACAGGAUUAGAUACCCUGGUAGUCCACGCCGUAAACGAUGAUCACUAGGUGUUGGGGGUCGAACCUCAGCGCCCAAGCUAACGCGAUAAGUGAUCCGCCUGGGGAGUACGCACGCAAGUGUGAAACUCAAAGGAAUUGACGGGGACCCGCACAAGCGGUGGAGCAUGUGGUUUAAUUCGACGCAACGCGAGAAACCUUACCAGCGUUUGACAUCCUAAGAAGUUUCCAGAGAUGGAUUCGUGCCGGCUUGCCGGAACUUAUUGACAUGUGGUGCAUGGCUGGCUGCAGCUCUGGUCUUGACAUGUUGGGUUUGUUCCCGCAACGAACGCAGCCCCUAUUGGAGGUGGCUACCAUUUAGUGUGACGACUCUUGGGAAACUGCCUGCAAUUAGCAUGAGGAAAGUGUCGUAAUUAGGUUAUAUGUGUAUUGGUGGUCUUUAG
rnacentral:rRNA from 1 species